rnacentral:rRNA from 1 species
GUCUAUGGCCAUGCCACCCUGAAUAAACCUGAUCCCGUCUGAUCUCAGAAGCUAAGCAGGGUCGGGCCUGGUUAGUACAUGGAUGGGAGACCACCUAGGAAGACCAGAUGCUGUAGACA